GACGAACGCUGGCGGCGUGCUUAACACAUGCAAGUCGAACGAAGCACUUUGAUCGAUUUCUUCGGAUUGAAAUCUUAGUGACUGAGUGGCGGACGGGUGAGUAACGCGUGGGUAACCUGCCUCACACAGGGGGAUAACGAUUGGAAACGAUCGCUAAUACCGCAUGACAUAGCGGAAUCGCAUGGUUCUGCUAUCAAAGAUUUUAUCGCUGAUAGAUGGGCUCGCGUCCGAUUAGAUAGUUGGUGGGGUAACGGCCUACCAAGUCGACGAUCGGUAGCCGGACUGAGAGGUCGAACGGCCACAUUGGGACUGAGACACGGCCCAGACUCCUACGGGAGGCAGCAGUGGGGGAUAUUGCACAAUGGGGGAAACCCUGAUGCAGCGACGCCGCGUGAGGGAAGACGGUCCUCUGGAUUGUAAACCUCUGUCUUCGGGGACGAAACGAGACGGUACCCGAGGAGGAAGCCACGGCUAACUACGUG
rnacentral:rRNA from 1 species